GAUUGGUUGGUUUUGUUGGAUCUUCCGACGACUUCGUCUGCUCCGUCGUCGGUUCCGUCGCUUUGGUCGGAUCCGUUGGCUUCGUUGGAACCGUCGGCUUUGUCGGAUCCGUCGGCGUUGAUGGAACCGUAGGUUUCGUCGGUUCCGUCGGCUUAGUCGGUUCCGUCGGUUUCGUCGGAACCGUAGGCACCGUUGGAACCGUAGGCUUAGUCGGUUCCGUCGGUUUCGUCGGAACCGUAGGCACCGUUGGAACCG